rnacentral:rRNA from 1 species
AACGAUGAAGCUUCUAGCUUGCUAGAAGUGGAUUAGUGGCGCACGGGUGAGUAACGCAUAGGUCAUGUGCCUCUUAGUUUGGGAUAGCCAUUGGAAACGAUGAUUAAUACCAGAUACUCCCUACGGGGGAAAGAUUUAUCGCUAAGAGAUCAGCCUAUGUCCUAUCAGCUUGUUGGUAAGGUAAUGGCUUACCAAGGCUAUGACGGGUAUCCGGCCUGAGAGGGUGAACGGACACACUGGAACUGAGACACGGUCCAGACUCCUACGGGAGGCAGCAGUAGGGAAUAUUGCUCAAUGGGGGAAACCCUGAAGCAGCAACGCCGCGUGGAGGAUGAAGGUUUUAGGAUUGUAAACUCCUUUUGUUAGAGAAGAUAAUGACGGUAUCUAACGAAUAAGCAC